UACGGAGGGGGCUAGCGUUGUUCGGAAUUACUGGGCGUAAAGCGCACGUAGGCGGCUUUGUAAGUUAGAGGUGAAAGCCCGGGGCUCAACUCCGGAAUUGCCUUUAAGACUGCAUCGCUAGAAUUGUGGAGAGGUAAGUGGAAUUCCGAGUGUAGAGGUGAAAUUCGUAGAUAUUCGGAAGAACACUAGUGGCGAAGGCGACUUACUGGACACAUAUUGACGCUGAGGUGGCGAAAAGCGUGGGGAGCAAACAGG
rnacentral:rRNA from 1 species